rnacentral:lncRNA from 1 species
GUUAGGACAGGGGAAGGAUCCCUAAAAAUUAGGUUUUGGGUGGAUUAGUCUACGGUCCAAAUAUAGCUAGCAGGUAAGUUGUAGGUUCAUCUCGACCCUCCGAUUUAGACCGGGUGGUCGAGAUAAAUAGGUUAGGAAGUUCAUUGGACAAACCAAAGACAGUUUGCGGUAAAACGGGGUUGAUCCGGAUCCAACGGUCACGACCGCCGGGCUCGGGUUCCGGGAGGUUUUCGGACUGGAUUGCGCGCAGGUC